rnacentral:rRNA from 2 species
AACGAACGCUGGCGGCGCGUCUUAAACAUGCAAGUCGAACGAUCUGUAGCAAUACAGGGAGUGGCGGACGGGUGAGGAACACGUAGGAAUCUACCUUGAAGAGCGGGACAACUUUGGGAAACCGGGGCUAAUACCGCAUAGUACAGAGAUGUUAAAGGGCUAGCAAUAGUCGCUUCGAGAUGAGCCUGCGGUCUAUCAGCUUGUUGGUGAGGUAAUGGCUCACCAAGGCUACGACGGAUAGCCGGUCUGAGAGGAUGAUCGGCCACACUGGCACUGAGACACGGGCCAGACUCCUACGGGAGGCAGCAGUUAAGAAUCUUGCGCAAUGGGGGAAACCCUGACGCAGCGACGCCGCGUGAAGGAUGAAGGCUUUCGGGUUGUAAACUUCGGUAGACUGGGAAGAAGAAAUACGUUCGUUGAGGGCGUAUAGUGACGGUACCAGUCUGAAGCCCCGGCUAAUUACGUG